rnacentral:lncRNA from 1 species
UGGAGCCUCCUUGCCAAACUCCAGCUUCUGCCAGAACAAACACACCCAACCAAAAUGGUUUAAAGACCUUAGCAUUCUGAGAAUCUGAAGCAGCCAGAGGGGCUCUUUGUACACCCCGAGCAGAGGCAACAGAGCACCAGCUUGAAGGUGGAAAGCCUGGGGCCUUAUGUGAAACUCAGCCAGCUGUGGAACCUCCCCGGACCUCCCCUGUAACACAGAGCCACUAACUGCCUCAGCUGGACCAUGGCUUUACCGGGAAGAGUCUGGGCCACGGAGGAAAAUAGGACUGGUGGUGGUGUGCCGUGGUGGUGAUGAGUGACAC